rnacentral:tRNA from 1 species
CGGAGCGUAGUAUAGUGGUAGUAUACGUGCUUUGGGAGCACGUGGCCUGGGUUCAAUUCCCAGCGCUCCGA